rnacentral:ncRNA from 1 species
UUCCAUUCACUACGGAUCGUCCGGCACGUACCUGCCGGUGAAGGAGUU